CUACGGGACCGACCAUUUAACUUUUGAGGGGGGGUGAUUUACUACUGGCAGGGAAUUUUUUUCUGGGAUCGUAUGCAAGAUAUUUUUUUCCUACCCAUCACCAUGUACGAUUUUUUUUGCCACUCUCUUUCGCAGCAUUUUUUUUCAAUAGCUUAUACCAUUUAGGUUCUUUAAUUAUAGUUAACGUUGAGUUUUCUAGCUUCAUGCAUUGCUUUUAAUAAUACAUAUUGCUAUGAGGUAUAACAUUUGGUUCAAAGCCUCUUUUAAGGAUGUGUAACUGAAGAGGACAUAUUUAGCGGGGGACCUGGUCAGGAGAAGUUCCAGUCGGUAAGUCUGUAUCGGCCUGUAUCACUGCAGCUACCAGCAUAUAUAUGCAUGGUUUAACUAAUAAGUAUACGUCAUAGGACAGCAAAUCAGGCCAUAACUAGGAUUCUGAGACAACCGAGUCAACCACCGAAGGUGCGAGCCUCUAGAGAGGUCUGGGGGCAUGCCCCCCAGAAAAGUUUGGAUUUCUUGAAGCUCAGAGCCUCAGAUAAGCUAUUUCCAGCAUUUUGAGGAGUUUUCCAACAAGAAAUUAACCUUACACUAGUCCUUGAAAAUCAAGCCACUCAGCUGAUCUUCUGGGACUGGUCAAAUCGAUCCCUGCAACCAUGCUGUUUUCCAACAUUUUUU